UACGUAGGGUGCAAGCGUUGUCCGGAAUUAUUGGGCGUAAAGAGCUCGUAGGCGGUUCGUCACGUCGGCUGUGAAAUCCCGAGGCUCAACCUCGCGCCUGCAGUGGGUACGGGCAGACUAGAGUGCGGUAGGGGAGAUUGGAAUUCCUGGUGUAGCGGUGGAAUGCGCAGAUAUCAGGAGGAACACCGGUGGCGAAGGCGGGUCUCUGGGCC
rnacentral:rRNA from 1 species